UACAGAGGUCUCGAGCGUUAGGCGGAAUCACUGGGCUUAAAGCGUGUGUAGGCGGAUCGUUAAGUACCUUGUGAAAUCCCACGGCUUAACCGUGGAACUGCUUGGUAUACUGGCGGUCUUGAGCCAGCUAGGGGCUACCGGAACAAAUGGUGGAGCGGUGAAAUGCGUAGAUAUCAUUUGGAACGCCAAUGGUGAAAACAGGUAGCUGAGGCUGUGCUGACGCUGAGACACGGAAAGCCAGGGGAGCAAACGGG
rnacentral:rRNA from 1 species